rnacentral:rRNA from 1 species
CUCGUAGGCGGCCAACUAAGUCACACGUGAAAUCCCCAGGCUUAACCUGGGAACUGCGUGUGAUACUGGAUGGCUUGAAUUCGGGAGAGGGAUGCAGAAUUCCAGGUGUAGCGGUGAAAUGCGUAGAUAUCUGGAGGAAUACCGGUGGCGAAGGCGGCAUCCUGGACCGACAUUGACGCUGAGGAGCGAAAGCUAGGGGAGCAACG